AAACAGUGAGGUCAACCGAACUCGCGGUUCCAGCUCAGUACUGCACCUGGCCAUGGCCAGGUCUACCAGUGCCUACCCAGCCAAAUCCAAUCAACCCAAAAAAUGCACAACUACCUAACAUUCAAAAUUUAGCAUCAGGCUCUUAAUUCCAAUUUUUUCAGUUUUAACCACUCUCCUUAGCCUAAAGCACAAAUGCGUAAUCGGGUGCGAAGCUCCAUUUUCUCUCUUCAUUGCUUGCAUCGAUUACGAAUCUCAAGCAUUUCAUCACUUGAUUUCCGCUUUAUGCCUUAUUUCUGAAGUUGCAUAAUCUGUGUUGCAAUGAAGUUGGGAGCCACUUAGUGAUAAAGAAAAUAAGACUGCCCUUCAGAAUUCGAAUUGUACAGUUACAUGGACUUGUGAACUGGAAAAAAAAUUAUGGGUCUGGCUUCUGUUAAAACUGUAAUUGAGGACAUGCAAAUUUGUAUAUUUGAUUUGAGAAGAGGGCAAGAAGAAGGGCGGGAGCUGGACAAGAUCUUGUUCUUCUUUCCAGCUGAUUCACCCUCCUCAAAACAGCUUUCUGUUAUAGGGCUUGGUGAAGGACUCAUCGCAUUUACCAGAAUUUUCUCUCCAGAAGCAGCUUGUGAGGUCAUAGAAGCUGAGAGGCACUCUCAUGUUUUUUAUGAGGCAGAGCCUGAUAUCUGGAUGGUGAUGAUGGUAGAGAAAAGUGUGGAGUCGGAAGCCACAUGGCGGAUUGAUGCAUUGAGAGAGGUACUUCAGGAAGUUCACUCUCUUUUCAUGAUGUUUCAUGGUUCUAUAAGAGCAAUGCUUGAGAAUGAACCUACUGGAGGACUAGUUCGCUCUCAUUUGUACCCUUUCAUCAUGGAUUAUCUAAGUGGUAAGAUAUUAUUUGAUUGUAUACUGACUAGAAUUAUGCUAAUUUAGUUGUGUCUUUACUUCCAAAUUUCAUUGCGAGUCACUAAUUAUCAGCAUUUCAAAAGCGGUCUCCAUUGGAUUUGGAACACUGCUGCUGGGGUAAUGCUGAAGUUGCUGUAUCAAAUGACCUCCAUUGGAUUUGAGCAUCCAAAGUAUUGCUGAAGUUGCUGUAUCUUGUAGUACCUUACGUGUAACUUUUAUCUUUGGGACAGAUUUUCUUGUUGGGAAAAAACUCCACUUACCAUCAUUUCGUGACUGUUUAACGGAGCGUGGAACUGUUCAGAUGUUGACUGUUGGGAGAGAAGCUGCAAUUGAAGUUCAGGUUUGCCUUUAGAAAAAAAUUUUGAGUGAUCCUAUAUAUUUGAAUUUUGAAAUGCCAAAGCUCAUUGACAUUUUGCCAGAAUAAGCUAUUUAAACCUGUCCUAAAAUUUUCUUAUUACUUUUUCCCCCUAUGAAAGUGUGCUUAGCACCUAUGUGGGAUCUAACCUGCAAUCUGACCCUUCACACAUGUUGUGGGAAGGAAAGCAGCCAUUUGGCUCCAAGGCCAUUUGCAGGAUUACUCUUUAAACUUCUAAAAAAAUAUAUAUGGUUUGGUCCUUUGCCACUUGGUGUUGGGAUUUCUUGUAUUUAGAUGUAUAAUGUCAGACUGAUAAUAGCUAAGCCUGAACAAGUCUUUUUCUGUCCACAUGAGGGUAUGCUGGAGUAAUGGGCAAUUCAAUCUGUAGUUCAUGUUAUUGGUUAAUACAAUGUUUUCAAUAUGUCAAUUUUAGUUUUUAAUGCAUUGUCCUUAUUUGUUGUUGUUGUUAUUAUCAUUUUGUUGGGGAGUGGUGCCCAGGAUGUUUAAAUUAACAUGCUUGAUAGUCAUUAAACCAUUUAUAUGUCUCUUGCGUGUCUACAAAUCAAUCAAUAGCAAAAAUAAGUAAAUAAACAUACCUCACUAGCAGAAUAGCAAAAAUAAGUAAAUAAACAUACCUCACUAGCAGCCUUCAAUUUUAUAAUAGAUGAUAAUCUGUUUCCCCAUUGUAUUUUCGCAUAUAAUGCCAUCUAUUACACACUUCUUCCUUUUCCCAGUUUUUAGUGUCAAAUACUGUGAUAGUGCUAUUGUCCAUGCUAUAUGUACUGUUUUCUAUUUCAAUCUUCACUUAUUUAAUUAUCUAUGUAGACUGCCAUUUUUUUUUCUAGUGAUUAAGAGGGGCACACCACACUGGACCAUUUCUCGGUUGAAGCUUCCUGUUGUAUACCAUACAGAACACAGAAAUAUCAUGUUUGGCUUGUGAGUAGAAGGGUUGUUCAAUGUUAAUGAUACCAUGUUAUUUUGGCAGUCACUUGUCAGGGUACUAGAGUCUUGUGCUGGGGCCACACCUUGCCAUUCACUGAUUUUCUUUCAGGACCUGCUUGUCUCCACAACAGUUUCUCCUGAUGACACCAUAAAUUUAUUUACAUAUGCGGUUCUGAGGUUGACUCCUCGUGCUUUAUCCUCUGGGGCAAGUUCAUGGUCAUACUUACGCAAAGGAAGCACUGCAUCUCAUGUUGCUGCAGGGUCUACACUGGCCCAAUCUGCUUCUGUUUCAGAACAUUUAUAUCGCUCACAUGAUAACUCUCCUGGUCGGGAUGACAGUUACCAUGUUAAGAGACCCUUACAGCAUGACAAGUGGGCUAAAGGGAAGGAUGGUUUUCUUGUCACUGAUAUUUGGGGUGCAGAGAUUGGUAGCUCUGUUACAGUUAGCCCAACAAUUUGGCUUCGUCAGACUGAGGAAAGAGUGUAUCUCUGCGCUUAUCAGUAUAAAGGUCUGACCUUAAUCCUUCUGAUUCCUGUUUCCUCCAUUCUUAAUGGGGAGCAAGGAGUUUCCCUGGUGAAGCAGCAAGUUCUUGAAAAUGUAAGUCCCUUCCUGUGACAAUUGCUAAUUAUUCCUUACACAAUUCAGCCAGUAAAAAAUAAACUCUACCAGUCUCUACUCGUUCUGUUGUAUGUGCAAAGAUUUGCAGCAUGAAUAGCCAAAUGAUAGCUUUGACAUGCAACAGAUGAGGUCAUCUCAUCAGUUGUGCUUGAUUGUCUGAUAUCUGAACGUCAGAAUGAUAUUGCAUAGUGCACAAUGUUGAAGCAUUUUUUACCAAGCAUUACUUGAAUAGCCCAUGCUGGAAUAAUUUUAUCUGGUAGUACAAGAGAAAGGUCAAGCUAUAUGGAAAUUCUGCUUUACGCUCUUAUUAUACCUUCAAUUGAUUUUCACAUGUUGAAAGUUUAUCCAUCUUUUAUUUGGUUCUCAUUUUCUUUUGUGAUGUACUAGGCAUCCCUUAAGAUGUUGAAAGUUGAAGAGAAACUAUCAAAAGGAUGGGGUGGUGAGAAUGCUUAUCACGUUAGUGGGUAUCGUUACUUGCUAGUCGAUGAUGAUCGAAAUAUAUCUAGGGCUUCUCCGCCAGUGAAGGUUGCAACCCUUACAAAGGUAUAAACCCCUUCAAUCUUGCUUAAUGAAUACAUAAUUGUCUGGCUUAACAUGGGCUGGAUGUGACCUGGCUCAACUGAAUUUGAUAAUAUACCUUUUUUCUUGUAAUGAGGCAAAAAUAUGUAUUAUGGUUACAGCUUACAUCUAGAAUUGUUAUUAAGAAUCAAUUUACAAUAUUUAGCUCAUGUAAUAUGCCCGUAUAUCAUUCUCUGUGAAGUUUAUCUUGGUUAACUUUGAAGUCUGGUCUGUCAAUCAAGCAUCAGCCUUGCACAGGUCAAAUGAAAAUCACAGGACUCGGCAACAUUGUCUAGAAUGUUAAUACUGGGUUUUCCAUUGAGAACCCUAUCUGGUCAGUUGAAGAGUUUGCCAUCAUAUUGCAGGAAUCUUUACUUGCCAUGAAUAAGCUUAGAGAAGAGGUAGAUUUGGAAAAGAGUAGAGCAAAAAGGAAUGGUGUAGAUCAAGAGAAAGAUUUGGAAAUAUGCAUUAGAGCAAAAAACAAUGCCUGGGUUAUUGCUCACACUAUGAGAGGCAAGGAGCUUUAUAUGGUUCUAGAAAAAGCCAAUGAAACACUUCUUUAUGCCUCUGAUGCUGUUGAGAAGUUCAGCAACGGGUAUUGUGGUGGCACCUUUUCAUUGGAUUAGGAAUCGUACGUUCAUAUUUGUAAGCAUAUAAUCCAGAGUAGGGAAACUGUAAUCGUCUCCUGCAUUACUGGGACGCGUAUGUUCGGCAAAUGAACUUCUGUUUCUUCCUUCAAUCACUUCCCACGUGUUUGCGUGGGGAGGCCCUUUAGAUUUUUGUAAAACAGAAAAUCUGCACUAUUAAUUAUAUGUACAAGGCAAUGACUAAUCCGAACAUUUUGAGAGAUUUGGGUUAUACUUUGGCACAUUUGUGAAGUCUGGUGCUUAAUCCUCUGCAAGGUUGUAAAGGACUACUAGCGACUAAAUUCGUGUGGGGAGAACAGCAUCAGUCAAGUUAAGAUGUCGAGAAUCAAAAUUGAAGAAAAUAAGGGUAAAAUCCUAGAGGGGGAUAAGAUUUUUCGCCCUCUCCUCAACUUCUUGUACAAACUAUCUCAAAUCAUAAAGAAUGUGUUUGAAAAGGUUUAAGAAUGAAA
rnacentral:misc_RNA from 1 species